GACGAACGCUGGCGGCGUGCUUAACACAUGCAAGUCGAACGGAAAGGCCCUGCUUUUGUGGGGUGCUCGAUUGGCGAACGGGUGAGUAACACGUGAGUAACCUGCCCCUGACUUUGGGAUAACUUCAGGAAACUGGGGCUCAUACCGGAUAUGAUCUCCUGCUGCAUGGUGGGGGUUGGAAAGUUUCGGCGGUUGGGGAUGGACUCGCGGCUUAUCAGCUUGUUGGUGGGGUAGUGGCUUACCAAGGCUUUGACGGGUAGCCGGCCUGAGAGGGUGACCGGCGACAUUGGGACUGAGAUACGGACCAGACUCCUACGGGAGGCAGCGGUGGGGAAUAUUGCACAAUGGGCGGAAGCGUGAGGCAGCAACGCCGGGUGCGGGAUGACGGCUUUCGGGUGGUAAACAGCUUUCGCAUGUGACGAAGCGUGAGUGACGGUAAUGGGUAAAGAAGCAACGGCUAACUACGUG
rnacentral:rRNA from 1 species